rnacentral:rRNA from 1 species
CUGAAGAGUUUGAUCAUGGCUCAGAUUGAACGCUGGCGGCAGGCUUAACACAUGCAAGUCGAGCGGUAACAGGGGGAGCUUGCUCCCCGCUGACGAGCGGCGGACGGGUGAGUAAUGCAUAGGAAACUGCCCAGUAGAGGGGGAUAGCCCGGGGAAACCCGGAUUAAUACCGCAUACGCCCUUUGGGGGAAAGCAGGGGAUCUUCGGACCUUGCGCUAUUGGAUGUGCCUAUGUCGGAUUAGCUAGUUGGUGGGGUAAGAGCCUACCAAGGCGACGAUCCGUAGCUGGCCUGAGAGGAUGAUCAGCCACAU